rnacentral:rRNA from 1 species
AACGACAGGCAGAGGAGCUCCCCGUGGGUGUGGAUGGCGGUGAUCCUGUGCAUGCUGCUGGCCAUCGGCGUCCUCGUGUUGGGCGCCACGAUGUUGGCCGUGUACUUGAUCUACAAGCCCCAGAUGCCGUACAUGGAGGUGACCAACGCGCAGCUCCUGCAGCUCGACUACAGCCCGGCCGACGGCGUCACCAGGGACAUAAAGUUCAAGUUCGAUCUUCUCGCCAAGAACACCAACUCCAAGGUCGACACCUCCUUCUCCAGCUUCAACAUCGACGUCAACUUCAACGGCACCACCCUGCUACAGCUGAGCACCGAGACCUUCACCGUCGCCCGGGAGAGCUCCGUCACGCUGCCGUACAGCGGGGAGUCGCGCGGGACGAGGCUGGACCCCGCCGGGAUGCAGGCCAUGGAGGAGGCGGUCAGGUCCGAGCUGGUGCCGAUCACCCUGUCCGGCAAGGCGCGGACGCGGUGGAAGAAGGGCGUCUUCCUCAAGGUCGGCUUCUGGACGCGCCUCAAUUGCCCCCUCGACUUCUACUACCGCACCGGCAACGUCGCGCCCAUCGACCACGACACCUGCCGCUCCAGGUCGCCGUAG